GAUGAACGCUAGCGGGAGGCCUAACACAUGCAAGCCGAGCGGUAUUUGUCUUUCGGGACAGAGAGAGCGGCGUACGGGUGCGGAACACGUGUGCAACAUGCCUUUAUCAAGAGGAUAGCCUUUCGAAAGGAAGAUUAAUACUCUAUAAUAUAUUGAUUGGCAUCAGUUAAUAUUGAAAGUUACGGCGGAUAAAGAUGGGCACGGGCAAGAUAAGCUAGUGGGUGAGGUGACGGCUCACCAAGGCGAUGAUCUUUAGGGGACCUGAGAGGGUGAUCCCCCACACUGGUACUGAGACACGGACCAGACUCCGACGGGAGGCAGCAGUGAGGAAUAUUGGUCAAUGGGUGCAAGCCUGAACCAGCCAUCCCGCGUGAAGGACGACUGCCCUAUGGGUUGUAAACUUCUUUUGUAUAGGGAUAAACCUCUCCUCGUGAGGAGAGCUGAAGGUACUAUACGAAUAAGCACCGGCUAACUCCGUGCCAGCAGCCGCCGUAA
rnacentral:rRNA from 1 species